UUUCAUUGGGGUUGCCGAUGAUAGGUUAGCCAGAUAUCCGUUAUCUUCGCAGGGAAUUGCCAGAUAGCGUAUAAAGCAAAACACAAAUCUAUCCAUGCAAGCAUUUACCGCUGGUUUAUCCGGCGGUUUUUUUUAUUGAUGGCCAGGGAAAAGGUGCAGGAAAGGCGAUUCAGGUAAAAAAAUGGCCCCUUGUGCAGUGACGCUACAAGGGGCCGGUUCGGUGCAGGACUAUCGUCGUUCAUCAAUC
rnacentral:sRNA from 1 species